AUGGCCGCCACUGCGGUGAGGUGCCUGCUCAUGGCUGCCGCUGUCUUGGCCCCGCUUUUCGCCGGCUCCGAAGGCGCAUUUCUGUCGUCGAAGUUCUACGACCGGAGGUGCCCGAGCUUGCAGACCAUCGUGCGGUCGGCGAUGACGCAGGCUGUCGCGGCGGAGCCGCGGAUGGGCGCGUCCAUCCUCCGCCUCUUCUUCCAUGACUGCUUCGUCAAUGGCUGCGACGCGUCCAUCUUGCUGGACGACACCGCCAACUUCACCGGCGAGAAAAAUGCGGGGCCGAACGCCAACUCGGUGCGCGGCUACGACGUCAUCGACACCAUCAAGGCCCAGGUCGAGGCGGUCUGCAAGGCCACCGUCUCCUGCGCCGACAUCGUCGCCCUCGCCGCACGGGACAGCGUCAACCUGCUCGGCGGGCCGACGUGGGCGGUGCAGCUGGGCCGCCGCGACGCCCGGAACGCGAGCCAGAGCGCGGCCAACUCCAACCUCCCGAGCGCGGGGUCCAGCCUCGCCGGCCUCAUCGCCACGUUCGGCAGCAAGGGGCUGACGCCGCGGGACAUGACGGCGCUGUCCGGCGCGCACACCAUCGGGCAGGCCCGGUGCGCCACCUUCCGCGACCGCAUCUACAACGACACCAACAUCGACGCCAAGUUCGCGGCGCUCCGGAAGCAGACGUGCCCGCAGACCGGCGGCGACGCCACGCUCGCGCCCAUCGACGUGUCGACGCCGACCUGGUUCGACACCACCUACUUCGAGAACCUCGCGAACAAGCAGGGGCUUUUCCACUCGGACCAGGAGCUGUACAACGGCGGGUCGCAGGACGUACUGGUGAGGGUGUACAUGCGCAACCCGGAUAUAUUCGCCCUCGACUUCGCCAAGGCAAUGGGGAAGAUGGGGAGCCUCAUGCCGUCGGCGGAUACUCCCACGGAGAUCAGGCUGGACUGCAAGAAGAUCAACUAA
rnacentral:rRNA from 1 species